GAUACUUGAAAAGAGAUUUUCCUUAAGUGAAUUUGUUGUUUUUAUGACAAAUCAUUCUUAGCCAACCUCUAUUCAGUAUC
rnacentral:pre_miRNA from 13 species